rnacentral:rRNA from 1 species
UACAGAGGGUGCGAGCGUUAUCCGGAAUGAUUGGGCGUAAAGCGUCCGCAGGUGGCUUUGUAAGUCUGCUGUUAAAGAGUGAGGCUCAACCUCAUAAGAGCAGUGGAAACUACAAGGCUAGAGUACGUUCGGGGCAGAGGGAAUUCCUGGUGUAGCGGUGAAAUGCGUAGAGAUCAGGAAGAACACCGGUGGCGAAAGCGCUCUGCUAGGCCGUAACUGACACUGAGGGACGAAAGCUAGGGGAGCGAAUGGG